GUGGGGAAUAUUGGACAAUGGGGGGAACCCUGAUCCAGCCAUGCCGCGUGUGUGAAGAAGGCCUUUUGGUUGUAAAGCACUUUAAGCGAGGAGGAGGCUACUUGGAUUAAUACUCUAGGAUAGUGGACGUUACUCGCAGAAUAAGCACCGGCUAACUCUGUGCCAGCAGCCGCGGUAAUACAGAGGGUGCGAGCGUUAAUCGGAUUUACUGGGCGUAAAGCGUGCGUAGGCGGCUUCUUAAGUCAGAUGAGAACUCCCUGAGCUUAACUUAGGGAGUGCAUUCGAUACUGGGAAGCUAGAGUAUGGGAGAUGAUGGUAGAAUUCCAGGUGUAGCGGUGAAAUGCGUAGAGAUCUGGAGGAAUACCGAUGGCGAAGGCAGCCAUCUGGCCUAAUACUGACGCUGAGGUACGAAAGCAUGGGGAGCAAACAGGAUUAGAGACCUGGUAGUCG
rnacentral:rRNA from 1 species